GAGAGAAGGAGAGAGAGAAUCCCAAGGGGCUUGAUCUCAUGACUGUGACAUCAUGACCUGAGCCGAAAUCAAGAGAUGGUCGCAGAACUGACGGAGUGGCCCAGGAGCCCCCUGGGACAAUGUUGAACCAGAGAUGUUUGGUGACAAACGAGACAGACACAGGCUGCCCGGUGUCCUCUCUCUUCUCACGUGGAAAUUGCCUGGGAAUCUAGUGAGCUGUUGGCUCUGAAGGUAGUUGGCUGUCCUGAGUUUUCAAGUCCCUUGGUAGGAUUCUGGGGAGUUGGCCGGUUGGCUCCAGACAUGAGCUCAUCUGAGCAUGCGAACCGCCCCUGGGGACCUGCAGGAAUGUGAUGACAUUGGCCCUUGUCCCCUGGCUGGCCUGCUUUGUCUCAUGGGAUCCUCUGAAGACCCUCGAGGAAGGAGACGCCCCCGGGCAGAUGAGGAGGCUGAGCCUUGUGGCCACAGUCAUCAAUUCCCGAGGUCACACGGGAGUGCUCAGCGGCCUGGCUGGGUGUGGACGCCUGGGAUCUGGCGGGGCCGCUCAGCGCUGGGCGGCCACAGCGGGACAGAGGGGUGAGGCCCCUGCACUGCGUUCUCGCCCGCCGGACCUCCCUCCACAUUCGGGUUUGCGGGGUCCCGACUCCUAACUCCAGGCGUGUCCACGUGAGGGGGGACAUCACUAAACUCUGUAAACAUCAUGGGGAUUUUAAAGAACAUCCUUGCCCAGGCCUGGGGUUGCUGUGUUUGUGUGCUUUUGGCUGGCUGUGUUUUCCUGGAAA